rnacentral:tRNA from 1 species
GCCUCUCUAGUUUAAUUGGUAGAACCUGUGACUCUUGAUCUUAGGGUUGUGAGUUUGAGCCCCAUGUUGGGUA